GAUGAACGCUGGCGGCGUGCCUAAUACAUGCAAGUCGAGCGAACGGACGAGAAGCUUGCUUCUCUGAUGUUAGCGGCGGACGGGUGAGUAACACGUGGAUAACCUACCUAUAAGACUGGGAUAACUUCGGGAAACCGGAGCUAAUACCGGAUAAUAUUUUGAACCGCAUGGUUCAAAAGUGAAAGACGGUCUUGCUGUCACUUAUAGAUGGAUCCGCGCUGCAUUAGCUAGUUGGUAAGGUAGCGGCUUACCAAGGCAACGAUGCAUAGCCGACCUGAGAGGGUGAUCGGCCACACUGGAACUGAGACACGGUCCAGACUCCUACGGGAGGCAGCAGUAGGGAAUCUUCCGCAAUGGGCGAAAGCCUGACGGAGCGACGCCGCGUGAGUGAUGAAGGUCUUCGGAUCGUAAAACUCUGUUAUUAGGGAAGAACAUAUGUGUAAGUAACUGUGCACAUCUUGACGGUACCUAAUCAGAAAGCCACGGCUAACUACGUGCUAGCAGCCGCGGUAAUACGUAGGUGGCAAGCGUUAUCCGGAAUUAUUGGGCGUAAAGCGCGCGUAGGCGGUUUUUUAGUCUGAUGUGAAAGCCCACGGCUCAACCGUGGAGGGUCAUUGGAAACUGGAAAACUUGAGUGCAGAAGAGGAAAGUGGAAUUCCAUGUGUAGCGGUGAAAUGCGCAGAGAUAUGGAGGAACACCAGUGGCGAAGGCGACUUUCUGGUCUGUAACUGACGCUGAUGUGCGAAAGCGUGGGGAUCAAACAGGAUUAGAUACCCUGGUAGUCCACGCCGUAAACGAUGAGUGCUAAGUGUUAGGGGGUUUCCGCCCCUUAGUGCUGCAGCUAACGCAUUAAGCACUCCGCCUGGGGAGUACGACCGCAAGGUUGAAACUCAAAGGAAUUGACGGGGACCCGCACAAGCGGUGGAGCAUGUGGUUUAAUUCGAAGCAACGCGAAGAACCUUACCAAAUCUUGACAUCCUUUGACAACUCUAGAGAUAGAGCCUUCCCCUUCGGGGGACAAAGUGACAGGUGGUGCAUGGUUGUCGUCAGCUCGUGUCGUGAGAUGUUGGGUUAAGUCCCGCAACGAGCGCAACCCUUAAGCUUAGUUGCCAUCAUUAAGUUGGGCACUCUAAGUUGACUGCCGGUGACAAACCGGAGGAAGGUGGGGAUGACGUCAAAUCAUCAUGCCCCUUAUGAUUUGGGCUACACACGUGCUACAAUGGACAAUACAAAGGGCAGCGAAACCGCGAGGUCAAGCAAAUCCCAUAAAGUUGUUCUCAGUUCGGAUUGUAGUCUGCAACUCGACUACAUGAAGCUGGAAUCGCUAGUAAUCGUAGAUCAGCAUGCUACGGUGAAUACGUUCCCGGGUCU
rnacentral:rRNA from 1 species